CAGAACUGCCCGGGUCUCGCUGCUGGAGACAGUUUGCACCUUCACUGAAGAUGAACCUGCUGCUGAUUUUCCUGUUCAUGCUGGUGGCCCCUUUAGGGGUCCUCUCCCAAGUGCAGCUGAAGGAAACGGGCCCGGGAGCGGUGAAACCCGGGGAGUCCCUGACACUCACUUGUACCAUCUCCGGAGACUCGGUUUCUAGCACCAGCGUCACCUGGGACUGGAUCCGGCAACCCGCGGGGAAAGGGCUGGAAUGGGUGGGACGCAUUUACUACAGAUCGAGUCAGUGGUACACUGACUACGCCAGCGCUCUGCAGAGCCGAGUGACCAUCACACAAGACACUUCCAAGAACCAGUUCUCCCUGCAGCUCCGCUCGCUGACAGCUGCGGACACCGGCACCUAUUACUGCGCCAGAGACACAGUGACACAGAGCAGAGCGGGACUGGUACAAAAAGGGGAAGCGGAUUCUGUCCACUUAAUUUUCACAAUUUGA